rnacentral:rRNA from 1 species
UAGAGUUUGAUCCUGGCUCAGGAUGAACGCUGGCGGCGUGCCUAACACAUGCAAGUCGAGGGGCAGCAUGACGGAAGCUUGCUUUCGUUAAUGGCGACCGGCGCACGGGUGAGUAACGCGUAUCCAACCUGCCCUUGUCCAUCGGAUAACCCGUCGAAAGACGGACUAACACGAUAUGCAGUUCUCCGCAGGCAUCUAACGAGAACGAAAUGUGAAGGAGAAGGAUGGGGAUGCGUCUGAUUAGCUUGUUGGCGGGGUAACGGCCCACCAAGGCGACGAUCAGUAGGGGUUCUGAGAGGAAGGUCCCCCACAUUGGAACUGAGACACGGUCCAAACUCCUACGGGAGGCAGCAGUGAGGAAUAUUGGUCAAUGGGCGCAAGCCUGAACCAGCCAAGUAGCGUGAAGGAUGACUGCCCUAUGGGUUGUAAACUUCUUUUAUGCGGGAAUAACCUCGACCAUGUAUGGUCGUUUGCAUGUACCGCAAGAAAAAGCAUCGGCUAAUUCCGUGCCAGCAGCCGCGGUAAUACGGAAGAUGCGAGCGUUAUCCGGAUUUAUUGGGUUUAAAGGGAGCGUAGGCGGACUAUCAAGUCAGUUGUGAAAGUCAUCGGCUCAACCGCUGAAUUGCAGUUGAAACUGGUAGUCUUGAGUGCACAUGAGGAUGGUGGAAUUCGUAGUGUAGCGGUGAAAUGCUUAGAUAUUACGAAGAACUCCGAUUGCGAAGGCAGCUAUCUGGGGUGCAACUGACGCUGAGGCUCGAAGGUGUGGGUAUCAAACAGGAUUAGAUACCCUGGUAGUCCACACUGUAAACGAUGGAUACUCGCGGUCGGCGAUAUACAGUCGGUCACCAAGCGAAAGCGAUAAGUAUCCCACCUGGGGAGUACGCCGGCAACGGUGAAACUCAAAGGAAUUGACGGGGGCCCGCACAAGCGGAGGAACAUGUGGUUUAAUUCGAUGAUACGCGAGGAACCUUACCCGGGCUUGAACUGCAGAGGAAAGAUCCAGAGAUGGUGAUGCCCUUCGGGGUCUCUGUGGAGGUGCUGCAUGGUUGUCGUCAGCUCGUGCCGUGAGGUGUCGGCUUAAGUGCCAUAACGAGCGCAACCCCUGUCCUCGGUUGCCAUCAGGUAAUGCUGGGCACUCCGUGGAUACUGCCAUCGCAAGAUGUGAGGAAGGUGGGGAUGACGUCAAAUCAGCACGGCCCUUACGUCCGGGGCUACACACGUGUUACAAUGGGGGGUACAGAGGGCUGCUGUCCGGUGACGGUCGGCCAAUCCCUAAAACCCCUCUCAGUUCGGACUGGAGUCUGCAACCCGACUCCACGAAGCUGGAUUCGCUAGUAAUCGCGCAUCAGCCAUGGCGCGGUGAAUACGUUCCCGGGCCUUGUACUCACCGCCCGUCAAG